rnacentral:rRNA from 1 species
GUCGAGAAUCUUUCACAAUGGGGGCAACCCUGAUGGAGCGACGCCGCGUGGAGGAUAAGGUCUUCGGAUUGUAAACUCCUGUCAUGCGUGAACAAGGUUGCUUGGAUAAUACCUGAGCAAAUUGAUGGUAGCGCAAGAGGAAGAGACGGCUAACUCUGUGCCAGCAGCCGCGGUAAUACAGAGGUCUCAAGCGUUGUUCGGAAUCACUGGGCGUAAAGGGUGCGUAGGUGGCGUGGUAAGUCAGAUGUGAAAGCCCGGGGCUCAACCUCGGAACUGCAUCCGAUACUGCCAUGCUAGAGUACUGGAGAGGUGACUAGAAUUCUCGGUGUAGCAGUGAAAUGCGUAGAUAUCGAGAGGAAUACCAAAGGCGUAGGCAGGUCACUGGACAGUUACUGACACUGAGGCACGAAGGCCAGGGGAGCGAACGGGAUUAGAAACCCGGGUAGUCC